CAGCUGGUACCACGUAGCCUGCUUGCUAGCACCAACAUGAAGGCGAAGGUAGCAUGGCUAUCCGAAAUUAAGCGUUCAAAGGAUCUUAGUUGUUAUAGAUUGCAUGCUAGAAAUGUAAAGACUGGCGGGACCUGGGGUGAUGAGGGACAUAGAGCUUGCCACUGGAGAGGACCUGGGAAGGGCAAGAAAGGUAAAGGGAAGGGGAAGGGCAAGAAGAAAUACCCCAACUUCAAUGAUCUCAAGAAGAGUGCCAUCACUUUACGCUCCACACUAGAGAGGAAGGUUUUCAACCCGAGCUUCAUGAGGCGAGUGACAGACGUCAUAUAACAAAUCGACAAGUUGAAACAUGCAAAGUUUGCAAACCAAUGUAAUUAGGCUAUGCACUGAAUUAACAGAACAGUUAAGGAGACCGGUUGAUUUUGUGCCAGAAAUAUCAUACUCAUCUACAGAUACUGUCUGUACUGGUGGAAAUAACUCAGGAACCUUUUUCAAGAUUCACACACAAAGACUUAUGUCCAUUUAAUGUGCAUGUAAUAACACAUUGAAAUUGCAUGCUUUUUGAUUUGUAAAACAAAUCCAAGCCGUUUUGAUUCGUUUUUAUAAAAUCAUUUGUCAAAUAAUGUUAUUUAUUGAUUGAUGUGUAACAUGAAUGUGAUGCCAGUCUUUGUCAUCGAUUUACACUUGAUGUGUCGUUGUGAUUUUCAGUGGCAUAACUCUCAGAACUCUUUUUUACACUGCAACUCUAUUUUUCAAUAUCUCUUUUGUAAUUAUCAUAAACAACCAGUGCUUAAUAUUCGAUGUGGAAGUGGUAACCGAAGUUACCACUUGUGGAUGACCGGCAGCUUUUACAAAUGUUGCCUACACCUAUAUAGGUUGCCAAUAGCUGCCCUGUGCAGCAUGUUUCAUAAUAAACACUGUGAAUCAUUAUUAUUAUUUUUUUUUAAUAAUGCUUAUUUCCUCUGAUAUUGUGUAGAUUAUACAUUUUUUUAUUAAAUUUAACUAGGCAUGUCAGUUAAGAUCAAAUUCUUAUUUUCAAUGACGACCUUCCGGGGAACAACUGCCUUGUUCAGUUGCAGAACGACAGAUUUUGACCUUGUCAGCUCGGGGAUUCGAUAUCAACAACCUUUCGGUUAGUGGCCCAACGCUCUGACCACUAGGCCCAACAUAUGUUGAUAAUUAGUGAGUGUUCUUGUUGUGUUGGCUUAGUACAUCUUGAUUGCAAGGAGGGGAAUCUUCAGGCGCUGUUGUUGAGCUGUGUUUUGGUUCAUUGUGUUCCUAGGCACCAAUUGGGCAGGUCGUGUGGGAGCAAAUGUUAUGAAAAAGUCCAUGUUGCACCAGGGCAGGCUACUGUCUGCUGGUCAUUGGGAGCACAUUCAACUAAUUGCUUGCACAUAAGCUGUCAUGUUCUUUAAUAUUGAAACCUCAUUAAACAUUCCAUCAUAAUAGUUUUCUUCAUUCAGUUCACUGUGUCAGCAGCUGAAAUAUUAUUCGAUGAGCAUACUCCCCAACAUGAGUAUUUUUUUUUCCUAUUAGGGCCUAUGUCAAAUUGAAUUUGCUUGCAUUGUUGUUUACAUGAUUUCUAAAAAUAUAUCCCCAAAAAUAAACAAGCCAGCUCCCUAGAUGCCAGUGAAAGAGUAGCCCAGGGAUUCAAUUUGCUUCUGGAAUUGCAUAUAUUUUUAUGACAGGGCAAUGGCUGCUUGAGAGUCAAAUGUUUUGUUAAAAUGAUAAGUAUUUAGCCUAAUUAUCAUAAUAUCCAAAAAAUGUAUACAUUUAGUUAAACUAUUUUCGAUGUUUUGUUACUCAAAUCAAGCAUAUGCCUAGUUCACCAUGUAGGCCUAUUUCUAUCAGUUAAUUGUCAAGUUAUUAUUAAAUUAUAUCUUGCAAUCGGGAUACUAUUCAACAUAAUAAUUACACUAUUGCUUUUAUGAGACCAUUCAAACGAAAGUAAGACCUAGAUUCAAUCAGAUCAAACGUUAAGGAACGAAUUGCAAAAAUCGCUGAAGCUGGAGAUUUAUAUUUCCCUCACUAACUUUAAACAUCAGCUAUCUGGGCAGCUAACCGAU